rnacentral:rRNA from 1 species
AGGGAAUCUUCGGCAAUGGGGGCAACCCUGACCGAGCAACGCCGCGUGAGUGAAGAAGGUUUUCGGAUCGUAAAGCUCUGUUGUAAGUCAAGAACGGGUGUGAGAGUGGAAAGUUCACACUGUGACGGUAGCUUACCAGAAAGGGACGGCUAACUACGUGCCAGCAGCCGCGGUAAUACGUAGGUCCCGAGCGUUGUCCGGAUUUAUUGGGCGUAAAGCGAGCGCAGGCGGUUUGAUAAGUCUGAAGUUAAAGGCUGUGGCUCAACCGUAGUUCGCUUUGGAAACUGUCAAACUUGAGUGCAGAAGGGGAGAGUGGAAUUCCAUGUGUAGCGGUGAAAUGCGUAGAUAUAUGGAGGAACACCGGUGGCGAAAGCGGCUCUCUGGUCUGUAACUGACGCUGAGGCUCGAAAGCGUGGGGAGCGAAC